rnacentral:rRNA from 1 species
AUAGAACGCGGGCGGCAGGCCUAACACAUGCAAGUCGAGUGAGCGGCGGACGGGUGAGUAAUGUCUGGGAAACUGCCUGAUGGAGGGGGAUAACUACUGGAAACGGUCGCUAAUACCGCAUACCAUCGGAUGAGCCCAGAUGGGAUUAGCUAGUAGGUGGGGUAACGGCUCGCCUAGGCGACGAACCCUAGCUGGUCUGAGAGGAUGACCAGCCACACUGGAACUGCGACGCGGUCCAGACACCUACGGGAGGCGGCAGUGGGGAAUAUUGCACAAUGGGCGCAAGCCUGAUGCAGCCAUACAGCGUGUGGGAGGAAGGCCUUCGGGUUGUAAAGCACUUUCAGCGGGGAGGCGUUAUCCGAAGAAGAAGCACCGGCUAACUCGGUGCCAGCAGCCGCGGUAAUAC